AAGGGCACCACAAGAACGCGUGGAGCAUGUGGCUUAAUUUGACUCAACGCGGGAAAUCUUACCAGGUCCAGACAUAUUGAGGAUUGACAGGCGAUAGUUUAUUAUAUAAUAAUAAGCAUAAAAAUGAUAGUCCUUUCAUGAUUAUAUGAUAGGUGGUGCAUGGCCGUUCUUAGUUCGUGGAGUGAUUUGUCUGCUUAAUUGCGUUUCAGUAAAAUAAAAUAUAUUUAAUAUAUAAUAAUAUUUUAGUUCUGCCUUUAUGGAUUUAAAGUGAACAUAUUAUUAUUAUUAAUAUAUAAUAAAUGAAUGCAACGAACGUGACCGUAACCUUUUAUUGCUAUAAUAAUUAUUAAUAUAGCUUAAAAUUAAAGGGACCGCUGUCAUUAUUAUAUGUGUUAAAAUAGAGUAAGAUUACGGCAAUAACAGGUCUGUGAUGCCCUCAGAUGUUCUGGGCUGCACACGUGCUACAAUAAUUACAUUAAUAAGUAUAUACAUUAUAUUUAUUAUAUAAAUUAAACCUAUUUCGAAAGUAAAUGGGCAAUCAUUUAAAAAUCGUGAUUAUUAUAAUACACAUAUUUAAUUUAAGGUGGGGAUAGUGUAUUGUUAAUUAUUACACUUGGCCUUAACUAGGAAUGCCUUGUACUCUUCUUUGGUUUAACAUACCAAGAGGAAUACGUCCCUGCCCUUUGUACACACCGCCCGUCGCUCUUACCGAUGAAUUAUAUUAUAAAUCUAAGGGACAAUAAUUAAUAUAAUUUAUGAAACUUAUAUACAUAAUGUGAUUUAAAGGAAAGAGAAGUCGUAACAAGGCAUCAGUAGGUGAACCU
rnacentral:rRNA from 1 species